GCCCGCACCACGCACCAGGACAUCGCCACCGGCACCGCACUACGGCGUACAGGAAACCGGACGGACAGCUAUGCCCGACCGCCUCCUUUCUGGUUCUCCUCCUCCCUCCUCCCUCCCGCGCAGAUCUCCACAAGCUUCCAGAGAGCAGCAGCAGCAGCAGCUCGCCUCCACGCGACACGAGGACGGACAUGGCGACCUUCACCAAGCUCGAGGAUUCCCCCAUGUUCCGCAAACAGGUCAAUUCUUUGGAACAUCUUACUGAUGAACUGAAAGAACGGUGCUCAAACCUGCAUAAAGGAUGUAAAAGAUUCAUGGGAUCACUUGAUGAGGCAUAUGCAGGGGAUCUAUCAUUUGCAGAUUCUCUGCAAGCAUUUGGUGCUGGUCUGGAUGAUCCUAUUAGUGUUGCCAUUGGAGGGCCCGUGAUGUCCAAGUUUACUACUGCUUUCAGGGAGCUUGGGACAUACAAGGAACUCCUUCGUUCUCAGCUUGAGCACAUGCUUAGUGAUCGCCUGUCACAGUUCAUUAACGUGGAUUUAAAUGGUGUGAAGGAUUGUCGGCAACGUUUGGAUAGGGCUGCAGUGGCUUAUGAUCAGGCACGUGAAAAAUUUGUGUCAGUGCGAAAAGGGACUAGAGCAGAAGUUGUGACAGAACUUGAGGAGGAUCUACACAAUGCCAAGUCAGCUUUUGAAAGAUGUCGCUUUAACUUGGUACAUGCCCUUGCGAACAUUGAAGCAAAAAAGAAGUAUGAAUUUUUGGAAUCAAUAAGUGCAGUGAUGGAUGCCCAUUUGAGGUAUUUUAAGCAGGGAUAUGAGCUAUUGAGUCAAAUGGAACCAUUCAUUCACCAGGUUCUAACAUAUGCACAACAAUCCAAACAAAUGGCUCUAAGUGAUCAAGAUAAGCUUGCAAAGAGAAUUCAAGAGUUCAGAACUGAAGAGGAAAUAGCUAAUGUGAGAAUGGCUAGCAACGUUGACACGUCUACUAGCGGUGAUGGUAUCCAUGUUGUUGGCCUUCAGUCCUAUAAAACGAUAGAAGCAUUAAUGCAGUCAACUGCUAACGGCGAGGUUCAAGUUAUUAAACAAGGUUACCUAUUUAAGCGUCCUCAAAAUAUACGUGGUGAAUGGAAGAGGAGAUUUUUUGUGCUUGACAGCCAUGGAACUCUGUACUACUAUGGGAAUAAAGGAAAAUCGCAAGGAGUGUCAUCACAACAAACAACUGAAGGUACUGGUGUUUUUGGUCGAUUCAGAUUCUUGAACCAAAGAGUUUCAUCUCAGAGUGAAGAUUCAUUAUCAUGUCAUAGAAUUGAUCUCAGAACUUCAACAAUUAAGAUUGAUGCAGAUGAAAAUGAUUUAAGAUUUUGCUUCAGAAUAAUCUCACCUGUUAAGGCAUACACAUUACAGGCAGAAUCAGGGGCUGAUCAAAAGGACUGGAUCCAGAAAAUUACUGGAGUUAUCGCAUCGCUACUAAAUUCACCAUUCCCACAGCAGUUGUCAUAUGGUAAUGUAGCAGCAGAGAGUAACAGAUCCACAAGUUCUGUUGAUUCUUUGUCUAUUGAAGAUAACAAGAGUUCAGAGGGACAUGAUGAUAUAUUCAACCUUCUGAGGAAUAUCCCUGGAAAUGACAGUUGUGCAGAAUGUCGUUCCCCUGAUCCUGAUUGGGCAUCUCUAAACUUGGGUAUUCUGAUUUGCAUUGAGUGCUCUGGGGCUCAUAGGAAUCUUGGAGUGCACAUUUCAAAGGUUCGAUCCUUGAGACUAGAUGUGAAAGUCUGGGAGCCAGUAAUUAUGGAUCUCUUCCAUGCACUAGGAAAUGAUUACGCUAAUUCCAUUUGGGAAGCCCUGCUUCCAAAAGAAGAUCAAGGAAUGAACGACUCAAAUGGAGCUAUUCUUUUUAUUGAAAAGCCUAAACCUAGUGAUGCUUUCUCAAUAAAGGAGAGGUACAUACAAACGAAGUAUGUGGACAAACUGCUUUUUGCCAGAGAUCCCGAUCAGAAUACCAUUAAUAUUUUGGAAGCCAUAAGGAAAAAUGAUGUGAGAGCAGCAUAUCGAAUUCUUGCAAUAGCUGAAGUCAGUGCUAACAUGACAUAUGAUGCUUUGAGCAAAGAUGUCCAUCAUGUUCAGCCAGUGACAGACAAGAUGUUACUUGAUCCGAUUUCUUGUGAGAUAAUUCAGGACUCUGGAAAACCAGAAGGCUGUCUACAAGGAUUUCCAUGGCCGAACACCAUUGCAUCAUUGUGUCCAAAAGAAAAAUGAUGAGCUCACCAAGCAUCUGCUGAAGAGGGGUGCGAGAACGACAAUUAAAGAUGGCGGAGGUCUGACUGCUCUGGAGAGAAGAAUGGAACUUGGAGCGAUAACUGAUGAAGACUUAUUCAUACUAUUUGUGAGGUGAUGUUGCAAACUUGCAAUACAGGCCUUUGGCAACUAGCUGUUUGUACCUGAUAGCAUUGUAUUGUACCCACCUAAUUUAGCUUCUGGAAAGAACAUGAUUUCUACACCUGAAGACAAAUGCCUUUUACUGUACCACGAUAUAACUUAUGGGACUGCUGCGCUUGGCUGUGUUUUAAAAUUCCACUGGUCGACAUGACCACAUCGUUGGUUUGUACAACAAUUAUAGGCAAUCACAGUAUUCGAUUCUUUGAGUAUGGUUAUUGAGGUAUGAGUUUCUGAUGUCAAGCACGUAAGGAAAGAACACACGAUAAUCGUGCAUGCAUAUUACCGUUGGGCAAUUUUCUUUUUUUAUUGCAAUUUUACAACUGUACUGCAUAUGGUCGACCUGUAACAAUUAUUGAAUUUAUGGGUACGUGUAUCCUGCAAGAUAUGAAUCAACUUGUAACAGCAUCUAAGUAUCGCUUCAAUAAAAAAGUGCAAAUGCAGCAUA